rnacentral:rRNA from 1 species
UACGUCCCUGCCCUUUGUACACACCGCCCGUCGCUCCUACCGAUUGAAUGGUCCGGUGAAGUGUUCGGAUCGCGGCGACGGGGGCGGUUCGCCGCCCCCGACGUCGCGAGAAGUCCAUUGAACCUUAUCAUUUAGAGGAAGGAGAAGUCGUAACAAGGUUUCCGUAGGUGAACCUGCGGAAGGAUCAUUG